rnacentral:rRNA from 1 species
GAUGAACGCUGACAGAAUGCUUAACACAUGCAAGUCUACUUGAAUUUGGGUUUUUUCACUUAGAUUUGGGUGGCGGACGGGUGAGUAACGCGUAAAGAACUUGCCUCACAGCUAGGGACAACAUUUGGAAACGAAUGCUAAUACCUGAUAUUAUGAUUAUAAGGCAUCUUAGAAUUAUGAAAGCUAUAUGCGCUGUGAGAGAGCUUUGCGUCCCAUUAGCUAGUUGGCGAGGUAACGGCUCACCAAGGCGAUGAUGGGUAGCCGGCCUGAGAGGGUGAACGGCCACAAGGGGACUGAGACACGGCCCUUACUCCUACGGGAGGCAGCAGUGGGGAAUAUUGGACAAUGGACCAAGAGUCUGAUCCAGCAAUUCUGUGUGCACGAUGACGUUUUUCGGAAUGUAAAGUGCUUUCAGUUGGGAAGAAAAAAAUGACGGUACCAACAGAAGAGGUGACGGCUAAAUACGUG